AUGAAGUUCACCACGUACGACAAAGCAUGGGACUUUUACAACACAUAUGCAAGAUAUGCAGGGUUUGGCAUACGCAACAGGGCAAAAUACAAGACAAAUGCCUACAUUGUCUGCUUAAGAGAAGGGGCGCACAAGCAGACUGUGUCAGAUUAUGACCGGAAAUGUGAGAAGACAUCAAAAAGGAUUGGCUGCAAGGCAAAAAUAAGAGUCAAAAAGAGGAAGGAUGGCAAAUUUGUGAUAGACAUGGUUGAACUAAAUCACAAUCACAAGAUGCUGGAAAGCCCCGGGAUGCUUCUGCACAUGCGCUUGCACAAAAGAGAGGAUCCUUUGAUUGACCAGUUGGUGAAGGACAUGCAGCUAGACAACCACACACACGCGCAGAUGAUGUCAAUGUUGUCGUGUAUGUCCGGUGGUCUGCAGUAUAUGUGACAUACUAGCCGUGACUGGGUCAACAAGAAACAAAAGUUUGCCAGAGAAGAGUCGAAAGAUGACGUCAAGAAACUUCUGGAUUUCUUUGAGAAGAUGCAAAAGAUAAACCCAGAGUUCUUCUAAGAUUAAGACGCCAACGCAAGUUGCAAAGGACCGUAUGAAGAUUUUGGAGACUGCGUUACAUUUGACACGACAUAUAAAACUAACAAAUUCCACAUGCCACUUGGAGUCUUCGUGGGAGUGAACCACCAUCUACAGAGUACCAUAUUUGUUGUCGCCCUUGUGCGAGAUGAAACAAUACCGUCAUUCCAGUAGGUUUUCAAGACAUUCCUCAGCUGUAUGAACAACAAGCCGCCAAUCUGCAUACUCGCAGACCAAUGUUCUUUGAUGAAGGCAAUUAAAAACUAUCCUCCCAGAUACAUUAAUAAGUUGUGUCGGUGGUAUAUCAUGAAGAAGUACAAAGACUACCUCGCCUUGCUGCAUAAGGCGCACGAGAAACUAAAGGAUGAACUCAAUGCGGUGCUGAACCACCCACUAAUGCCGUCAGAAUUUGAACGGGCAUGGAAGGUCCUCAUUCAGAAUUACAACUUGCAAAACGACGAAGUGAUGAAUUCGCUGUGGGAUUACAGGCACGAGUGGAUCUCAGCUUACUACAAGGAAAUUUUCUGUUCUCGGAUGACUUCCACACAGAGAAGCAAGAGCAUGAACCGCAUAUUGAAGAAAAACUUAGUCAAAGAGAAGCAUGAUCUCCAUCUGUUUGCUCAACAGGUGGACAAGUGCAUUCAGACCAGGAAGGUCGUCGAGCACGCAGAGACAGUAGCAAAUGAGGUAAAUAAAAAUGUCCAUCAAAAACUGCUAAAUAUAACUACAAAAACUAACAAAAUUUUCAUUUCUCUUAUUCGUAACGCUGCAUUUUUGAUCAUGCAGUCGGAGGUAAAGACAACAACCCAGUUUUGGUUCGAAGUUCAGCUAUCAAAAGUGUAUACAGGAGCAGUUUUUGCGGAUUUCAAAGAAACACUCUACCGCAGCACCGCAUUCAGAGCAGAACGGUGCCCUGAGAACCCGACAAAGUACCUUGUACACCACUACAACAGAACGGAUUCAUUUGACCGGGCAAGGCAUAAUUUCCAAGUGGUCGCCAGCGAACAGAAAGGUGUCUAUGAAUGUGAGUGCAAGCUCUGGACACACACAGGUGCGACUCGCUAA
rnacentral:rRNA from 1 species